UGAAACACGGACCAAGGAGUCUAGGUAUGCGCGAGUCAUUGGGUGGAAAACCCAUAGGCGAAAUGAAAGUGAAGGUCUCUUCAUGAGGCUGAUAUGCGAUCCGUUGCACUACGGUGUACGCGGAGCAGCAUAGCCCCGUCUCGACUGCUUGCAGUGGGGCGGAGGUAGAGCGUAUACGCUGGUACCCGAAAGAUGGUGAACUAUGCCUGAGCAGGAUGAAGCCAGAGGAAACUCUGGUGGAGGUCCGAAGCGCUUCUGACGUGCAAAUCGAUCGUCUGACUUGGGUAUAGGGGCGAAAGACUAAUCGAACCAUCUAGUAGCUGGUUCCCUCCGAAGUUUCCCCCAGGAUAGCUGGAGCCUGUGAAAUUAGUUAUACUCGGUAAAGCGAACGAUUAGAGGACUUGGGGUCAAAAGACCUUAACCUAUUCUCAAACUCUCAAUGGGUAUGAAGUCCUAGUUGCUUGAUUGAACUAGGACGUUGAAUAUGGCUCCAAGUGGGCCAUUUUUGGUAAGCA
rnacentral:rRNA from 1 species